rnacentral:rRNA from 1 species
AUUGAACGCUGGCGGCAUGCUUUACACAUGCAAGUCGAACGGCAGCGCGGGCUUCGGCCUGGCGGCGAGUGGCGAACGGGUGAGUAAUGCAUCGGAACGUGCCCAGUAGUGGGGGAUAGCCCGGCGAAAGCCGGAUUAAUACCGCAUACGACCUGAGGGUGAAAGCGGGGGACCGAAAGGCCUCGCGCUAUUGGAGCGGCCGAUGUCGGAUUAGCUAGUUGGUGGGGUAAAGGCUUACCAAGGCGACGAUCCGUAGCUGGUCUGAGAGGACGACCAGCCACACUGGAACUGAGACACGGCCCAGACUCCUACGGGAGGCAGCAGUGGGGAAUUUUGGACAAUGGGGGCAACCCUGAUCCAGCCAUGCCGCGUGCGGGAAGAAGGCCUUCGGGUUGUAAAGCGCUUUUGUUCGGGAAGAAAUCCUGUGGGCUAAUACCCCGGGGGGAUGACGGUACCGGAAGAAUAAGCACCGGCUAACUACGUG